GUAGGUCUCUAGACGUUACAGAGAACCCCGAACAACCCAAACUGCUAAUCUUCGAUAUCGCUUUAUACUCACGAUCUUGUAUCUACUGACUGUCAACUUAGAUUAACCCAAUAAAUUUCAUUCAUUCCGCAUACUCAAUCCUAUAGACACCCUUUUAAUUCUUCAAUCACAGACGUAACUUUGAUUUCACAAAACAGUCAAGAGUAAUCAAACCCAUUUCAUUAAAAAUCCCGAUUUACCAUUAUAACACUUCGACAAUUUAGCAACGAUUGCCUCAGUCUUCUCAAAAUCCUAUGAAGAAAAAAAAACCCCAAUUCUCUGUCUUUUUUCCCCGUUGCGAAGCAUGAAGCUAGCU
rnacentral:lncRNA from 1 species